UGGGGAAUUUUGGACAAUGGGGGGAAACCCUGAUCCAGCCAUCCCGCGUGUGCGAUGAAGGCCUUCGGGUUGUAAAGCACUUUUGGCAGGAAAGAAACGUCGCGGGUUAAUACCCCCGCGAAACUGACGGUACCUGCAGAAUAAGCACCGGCUAACUACGUGCCAGCAGCCGCGGUAAUACGUAGGGUGCAAGCGUUAAUCGGAAUUACUGGGCGUAAAGCGUGCGCAGGCGGUUCGGAAAGAAAGAUGUGAAAUCCCAGAGCUUAACUUUGGAACUGCAUUUUUUAACUACCGGGCUAGAGUGUGUCAGAGGGGAGGUGGAAUUCCGCGUGUAGCAGUGAAAUGCGUAGAUAUGCGGAGGAACACCGAUGGGCGAAGGCAGCCUCCUGGGAUAACACUGACGCUCAUGCACGAAAGCGUGGGGAGCAAACAGGAUUAGAUACCCCUGGGUAGUCCACGCCCCUAAAACGAUGUCAACUAGCUGUUGGGGCCUUCGGGCCCUUGGUAGCGCCAGCUAACGCGUGAAGUUGACCGCCUGGGGAGUACGGUCGCAAG
rnacentral:rRNA from 1 species